CGAGAGUUUGUAUCCUGGCUCAGGAUGAACGCUGGCGGCGUGCUUAACACAUGCAAGUCGAGCGAAGCGUAUUAGUCGGAAGUUUUCGGAUGGAAGCGGAUAUGACUUAGCGGCGGACGGGUGGAGUAACGCGUGGAUAACCUGCCUCAUACAGGGGGAUAACAGUUAGAAAUGACUGCUAAUACCGCAUAAGCGCACAGGACCGCAUGGUCCGGUGUGAAAAACUCCGGUGGUAUGGGAUGGAUCCGCGUCUGAUUAGCUGGUUGGUGAGGUAACGGCCCACCAAGGCGACGAUCAGUAGCCGACCUGAGAGGGUGGCCGGCCACAUUGGGACUGAGACACGGCCCAAACUCCUACGGGAGGGCAGCAGUGGGGAAUAUUGCACAAUGGGGGAAACCCUGAUGCAGCAACGCCGCGUGAGUGAAGAAGUAUUUCGGUAUGUAAAGCUCUAUCAGCAGGGAAGAAGAAAGACGGUACCUGACUAAGAAGCCCCGGCUAACUACGUG
rnacentral:rRNA from 1 species